GUGGAAUAUUUCAGCCUUGAAUUGGUCAAUAAUUCAAAAUGACAUCGAUUUUGAUUCAUUAUUAUUUUUUUUAAAGAAAGAAACAGCCUGCAUGGCAGCUUUGUGUUAUUAAAGCAUUGCAACAUUUUCUUGUUACAUUCCACCUGUUCUUUUAUAUCACUUUUUUAUGUUUUUAAUUUUUUUCAAUUUUAUUUUUAAAAUGUGCCGUGGGAGCAUUAAAAAGUGACCCACGGGCCGCAAAUGCCCCCCGGGCCGCACUUUGGACACCCCUGGAAUAGUACAGUAGCUCACAGACGUCUUACGAGGUAGACGCAGCAUUGGCUGCUGUGACGCGAGAAAUUGGGCCGCCAUCUUGAAGUGGUGAUGAGGAGCCGGCGAGCGGCCUAAAACUGACAGUUGACAGGUAGAAAACAAAAAUGCCGGGUUUUGUUUUAAAUACAAAAUACAAAAAAAAUAAAAAAAAACAUAUUAAAACAAAAAUUAUAUUUUUCCCCCAUCAUUUUCCAUUUUUAUACAUUUUUAAAUGCAUGCAGCUCUACACCGCUGCACUAGAUGGCGCCGGUUUACCAGUUUGAGAAUCACUGGUCUAACAAUAUAUAUUUUGGGAAGCUACUAUAUGAAAAAUGAUUAAAAACAACAAAAGCUUAUUUUGAUUAUUGAUACUCCUCUGUUUGUAGAUGUUGAAAUUUAUAAAUAAAAGUAAAAAAAAAUAAAAUAAUUUUUUUUUAAAAAAGCACUUGCUUGACAUUUUCCGUCAUUUUCUGAAAAUCUAAUCCAAGUACGGCUGUUUUUGUUGCUAUUUGAUUAUAUAGCUUUUUAAAAAUACAUAUAUUAUUAUAGUUCAAAAUGCAAUAUACAAAAAUAUUGGAGCGGCUGGUUACGGGGUGUUAGCCAAUGAUUUUCACCGAGGGGCGGGACUUCCGGGGAGAGAUAGGGAAGUGACGUUUAUGUAUAGUAAAUUAUAGUUCGAGUAUUGCGACUUAUUUUGAUUAUUGUUUCUCAACUGUUUGUAAAUGUUAAAAUUUAUAAAUAAACAUUAAAAAAAAAAGUAAAAAAAUAAAUUAAAAAAACUUUAAAUAAACCCUGGAGUUGGCGUCACCGAAUAUCGACUAUUCUGAGGCGGAGUCUUUCUCUUGUAACAAAAGAAAAUCCGACACCAGUUUUUGGUUGGAUUUUUGCACUUUUUGCUUGUCGUUAACAUUUUGACCCUGGUUCGUAUCCUCUUUUAAAUGCGUGCAAAAAAAUAUAAAUGAAUGAUGUGAAAAAAAAAAAAUAGUUUGAGUAUUGCCGGAAACUACUUACUUUAAUUAUUAUUUCUCAACUCUUUGUAAAUGUUGAAAUUCAUAAAUAAACAGAGUGGUGUUUGUUGUGCGCUUGUAGUGCAUCUUGUGCAAUAAAAACAAACCAAACCAAAAAGUUGCAUGAGCCUACAUUCCUAGAAUAUUACAAUGUCUAUCAUUUUAGUUCCCAACACAGGAAGGACAUUUGUCAUCAUUUCUUUCCUCAUCCACAUCCAUUCUCAUUUUCCAAAGCAUCUUCAAUUAAUUUCCCAUCUAAAAAACAUGUAUUUUUUUUAAUGUCUUUUAUUUUUUUCUCAUGCAAAUCAGAAAACAAUAACUUAUUAUCACAACAAACAGAGUGAUCGCCACAAAAAAUACAGAAUAUAUAUAUAAAAACCUCUAAAUGUACCAUAUUGUGUAACUUAAAUAUUCUAUUUGUUUAUUUGAAAAAUCUAAAGACUUCAUUUUGAUCAAUGGUAUAUAUUUAAUGAAUGAAAUGCAAUAAAAUUGCCAAGUGACUAACUGGCAUUACCUGCUGUUUCAAAUUUGAUACAUUUUCAACACAGUUUUACUAUAUGAUAAAAUGUGAAGUCAUUUCAAAUUGCAUCAAUUGAAUAACUGUUCACACUGAUUUGUCAGUAAAAAAAAAAAUCCACUACGUUUAUUGAAUGUAUCUGAUCUGAUACAACAGGCUUUUUAGCGUCAAUUACACUGAUGAUGUAGAGGGUUCAAAAAGUUAUGUGUCACUUAUGAUAUAUUUGGUGUUACAAAAAAUGUAAUUGUGUACAUCAUUCAAGGUAACAAAGCGGUAAUAAACGAUUAAAUACACUUGAUCGUUGUCACAAUGUUUUUUUUAAAUGGGGAACUUGUUUCUAAAAAGUCAUGAGGAUAGAAAUAAAUGAGAAUUGUCAAGUGUACAAAUACAUAGCAAGCAGUGGUAUUCUCUAAAGCAGGGGUCAGCAACCUUUUUGAAACCAAGAGCUACUUCUUGGGUACUGAUUAAUGCCAAGGGCUACCAGUUUGAUACACACUUAAAUAAAUUGCCAGAAAUAGCCAAUUUGCUCAAUUUACCUUUAAUAAAUAAAUAUAUAUAUAUAAAAAAAAUGGGUAUUUCUGUCUGUCAUUCCGCCGAACAAAUGAUGAAAAAAUUACAUAAUUGAAGGGUUUAAAAGAAGAGAAAACAGGAAAAAAAUGAAAAUGAAAUUUUGAAACAUAGUUUAUCUUCAAUUUCGACUCUUUAAAAUUCAAAAUUCAACCUAAAAAAAUGAAGAGAAAAACUAGCUAAUUCAAUUCCUUUUAAAAAAAAAUUUAAAAAGAAUUUAUAGAACAUCAUUAGUCAUUUUUCCUGAUUAAUUUUAGAAUUUUGAUGACAUGUUUUAAAUAGGUUAAAACUCAAAUCUGCACUUUGUUAGAAUAUAUAACAAAUUGGACCAAGCUAUAUUUCUAACAAAGACAAAUCAUUAUUUCUUCUAGAUUUUCCAGAACAUAAAUUGUAAAAGAAAUUCAAGACUUUGAAAUAAGAUUUAAAUGUGAUUCUCAAGAUUUUCUAGAUUUGCCUCAAUAAUAUUUUUGAAUUUUAAUCCUAAUAAGUUUGAAGAAAUAUUUCACAAAUAUUUUUUGUCGAAAAAACAGAAGCUAAAAUGAAGAGUUAAAUUAAAAUGUAAUUAUUAUUCUUUAAAAUAAAUAAAAAAAAUACUUGAACAUUGAUUUAAAUUGUCAGGAAAGAAGAGGAAGGAAUUUAAAAGGUAAAAAAUGUAUAUGUGUUUAAAAAUCCUAAAAUCAUUUUUAAGGUUGUUUUCUUCUCUAAAAUUGUCUUUCUGAAAGUUAUAAGGAGCAAAGUAAAAAAACAAAUUAAUGUAUUUAAACAAGUGAAGACCAAGUCUUUGAAAUAUUUUCUUGGAUUUUCAAAUUCUAUUUGAGUUUUGUCUCUCUUAGAAUUAAAAAUGUCGAGGAAAUCGACACCAACUUGCUCGUAAAUAAAUACAAUUUAAGAAACAGAGGCAGCUCACUGGUAAGUGCUGCUAUUUGAGCUAUUUUUAGAACAGGCCAGCGGGCGACUCAUCUGGUCCUUACGGGCGUUGGUGACCCCUGCUCUAGACAUUUCACAUAUUUGCACUUGUAUCCUAUGACCACUAGAGGGCACCAUUGCCUAUUGAACACUUUGAUUGGACCCCCAGCCUCCUUGAAUGGUAACAUUCAGGUCAUUCAAUAAUAGCUGAGAUAGGCACCAGCGACCCCAAAGGGGAAUAAGCGGUAGGAAAUGGAUGGAUGAAUGGAUGUUAGUGCACCAGUCGAGGAAAAUAAUCAAACUGUUGUCUGUCUAUCUGUGUUGGCCCUGCGAUGAGGUGGCGACUUGUCCAGGGUGUACACCACCUUCCGCCCGAUUGUAGCUGAGAUAGGCACCAGCGCCCCCCGCGACCCCAAAGGGGAAUAAGCGGUAGGAAAUGGAUGGAUGAAUGGAUGUUAGUGCACCAGUCGAGGAAAAUAAUCAAACUGUUGUCUCUCUGUGUUGGCCCUGCGAUGAGGUGGGGACUUGUCCAGGGUGUACACCGCCUUCCGCCCGAUUGUAGCUGAGAUAGGCACCAGCGCCCCCCGCGACCCCAAAGGGGAAUAAGCGGUAGGAAAUGGAUGGAUGAAUGGAUGUUAGUGCACCAGUCGAGGAAAAUAAUCAAACUGUUGUCUCUCUGUGUUGGCCCUGCGAUGAGGUGGGGACUUGUCCAGGGUGUACACCGCCUUCCGCCCGAUUGUAGCUGAGAUAGGCACCAGCGCCCCCCGCGACCCCAAAGGGGAAUAAGCGGUGGGGACUUGUCCAGGGUGUACACCGCCUUCCACCUGAUUGUAGCUGAGAUAGGCACCAGCGCCCCCCGCGACCCCAAAGGGGAAUAAGCGGUAGGAAAUGGAUGGAUGGAUGGAUGUUAGUGCACCAGUCGAGGAAAAUAAUCAAACUGUUGUCUGUCUAUCUGUGUUGGCCCUGCGAUGAGGUGGGGACUUGUCCAGGGUGUACACCGCCUUCCACCUGAUUGUAGCUGAGAUAGGCACCAGCGCCCCCCGCGACCCCAAAGGGGAAUAAGCGGUAGGAAAUGGAUGGAUGGAUGGAUGUUAGUGCACCAGUCGAGGAAAAUAAUCAAACUGUUGUCUGUCUAUCUGUGUUGGCCCUGCGAUGAGGUGGGGACUUGUCCAGGGUGUACACCGCCUUCCACCUGAUUGUAGCUGAGAUAGGCACCAGCGCCCCCCGCGACCCCAAAGGGGAAUAAGCGGUAGGAAAUGGAUGGAUGGAUGGAUGUUAGUGCACCAGUCGAGGAAAAUAAUCAAACUGUUGUCUGUCUCUCUGUGUUGGCCCUGCGAUGAGGUGGCGACUUGUCCAGGGUGUACACCGCCUUCCACCCGAUUGUAGCUGAGAUAGGCACCAGCGCCCCCCGCGGACCCAAAAAGGGAAUAAGCGGUAGUAAAUGGAUGGAUGGAUAAAUAACAUACUGUAAUUUGAUUUUGAUAUUAUGUUUUUAUCUUGAUAGAUUGAAAAUGAACACGAAUGAGUUAACUGAUGUACAUUAUCACAUAAUUCAUUCAGAAAGUAUAAAUAACGUCCAAAAAAAGAUAGAUUAUUAUCAAACGCAACAUGUAAGUGUAAAAAAAAAAAUAGCCACAACAUAUUGAUUUGUACAUUUUCUUGUUCUAUUUUAAAACAAAUACAACAA